rnacentral:rRNA from 1 species
GACGAACGCUGGCGGCGUGCCUAAUACAUGCAAGUCGAGCGGACGAAUCGAAAGCUUGCUUUUGAUUCGUUAGCGGCGGACGGGUGAGUAACACGUGGGCAACCUGCCCUGUAGGCGGGGAUAAUACCGAGAAAUCGGUGCUAAUACCGGAUAACACGAAAUGUCGCAUGACGUUUCGUUGAGAGACGGCGCAAGCUGUCGCUACAGGAUGGGCCCGCGGCGCAUUAGCUAGUUGGUGAGGUAACGGCUCACCAAGGCGACGAUGCGUAGCCGACCUGAGAGGGUGAUCGGCCACACUGGGACUGAGACACGGCCCAGACUCCUACGGGAGGCAGCAGUAAGGAAUCUUCCGCAAUGGACGAAAGUCUGACGGAGCAACGCCGCGUGAGCGAAGAAGGCCUUCGGGUCGUAAAGCUCUGUUGUUAGGGAAGAACAAGUAACGCAGUAACUGGCGUUACCGUGACGGUACCUAACGAGAAAGCCACGGCUAACUACGU